rnacentral:rRNA from 1 species
GACGAACGCUGGCGGCGUGCUUAACACAUGCAAGUCGAGCGGUAAGGCCCUUUCGGGGGUACACGAGCGGCGAACGGGUGAGUAACACGUGGGUGACCUACCCUCAGCUCUGGGAUAAGCCUGGGAAACCGGGUCUAAUACUGGAUAUGACUCCAUGACGCAUGUUGUGGGGUGGAAAGCCUUGUGCGGCUGAGGAUGGGCCCGCGGCCUAUCAGCUUGUUGGUGGGGUGANGGCCUACCAAGGCGACGACGGGCAGCCGGCCUGAGAGGGCGACCGGCCACACUGGGACUGAGACACGGCCCAGACUCCUACGGGAGGCAGCAGUGGGGAAUCUUGCGCAAUGGGCGAAAGCCUGACGCAGCGACGCCGCGUGAGGGAUGACGGCCU